UACGUAGGGAGCGAGCGUUUGUCCGGGAAUCAUUGGGCGUAAAGAGCGCGUAGGUGGAUCAAUUAGUCUGCUGUGAAAGUCAAAGGCUCAACCUUUGAAAGCCGGUGGAUACUGUUGAUCUAGAGUACGGAAGAGGCGAGUGGAAUUCCUGGUGUAGCGGUGGAAUGCGCAGAUAUCAGGAGGAACACCAUAGGCGAAGGCAGCUCGCUGGGACGUUACUGACACUGAGGCGCGAAAGCGUGGGGAGCAAACAGG
rnacentral:rRNA from 1 species